UUCUGAUUGGAUGAUGACUGUCACGUGUCAUGUUUUGAUUGAAAGUUGACUCUAGAUGAUAAAAUGCAUUGUUGUUGUCAUUGGUCAAUCAAAACAUGACACGUGGCAGUCAUCGGCC
rfam:Glycine max cultivar Williams 82 chromosome 9, whole genome shotgun sequence.